rnacentral:hammerhead_ribozyme from 1 species
AUCCAGCUGAUGAGUCCCAAAUAGGACGAAACGCUAGUCCUGGAU